AUAAUAGCGAAGACGGAGAGAGAUUGCAGACGCGAUUCCCCAGAGAGCCGGUGGUUGCUGCGAACCGGUGAAUCCCCUGCUUUUUGAGCGCUCCCGAGCUGUCAGGCUGAACCGGAAGAAGUAGGCCUGAACGGAAGCCCCGUUACGGGCAACGGUCCGCUCGAUUAGGACCGGUAGAGGCCGCUGUUGCGAGACAGUGGCGAAUGAGGGUGGUACCGCGAAAUCAAGCCUUUCGUCCCUCAC
rnacentral:ncRNA from 1 species